AUUUUGAUCACAAAUUCAACGUUGUAAACCAUUUGCUCUGAUAGGGUUUUGCCCUCUUUCAAUAGUGAUUGACAUGGUCUCUUCCUCUUCCUCUGCCGUCUCUCUCAUCCGCUCAUCUUCGCCAUGUAACCCGCUUCUGCAGCUGCCUCGCAACUUGCUUCCGCUUCUACUGCGCCGCGCAACCCACUUCCCCGCCGUCGCGCAACCCGCUUCCCCGCCGCCGCACAACCCGCUUCCCCAGCUUUCUAUCAGAAUGUAAUUUCAAUUCGAAAACAGUUGGAACAUUUAAAAGAAUACAAAAAUAGGUUGGAGAGGAUUCUUGGUAAACAGAAGAUCAUAUGAAGAACGCUAUAUUUUUCAGAAGUGCAGGGACAAAUGACUUUGUUAUUAAUUAUUUUACAUUGCCAAUACGAAGAAAGAAAGAGGAUAAGUUAUUGUUUGGAACGGUGUAGAAUUGAAGGAAGUAAUUGGUAUCCAGAGGAAGAGAAAGAAGAGGACAGAGGGUAAGUUAUUGUUUUGCAGCAUGAAGCAGCAGCUACCUGGCGUUGAUGCUAAAUUGCAGAAGAUUGCAGAUUCUACGAAGUUAGUUAUUGUCAUCAGAUGAUUGAUGGUUAUCUGAUAUGCAAUGUAACAGUCAUACGAGGUGAAUUCAAGGGGCAUUGAAAUAUUCUGUAAGAGUUGGCUUCCUGAGGCAUCCAAGCCAAAAGCAACAGUGUUUUUCUGUGAUGGAUAUGGAGACAUCUGCACUUUUUUCUUUGAAGGCAUGUUCCUGGCAUAGCUAGGAAGAUAGCAUUAGCUGGAUACGGGGUCUUUGCUAUGGAUUAUCCUGGAUUUGGCCUUUCACAAGGCCUCCAUGGCUAUAUCCCUAGUUUUGAUGGUCUUGUUGAUGAUGUCAUUGAACAUUACUCAAAAAUCAAAGCUGUCUUAGGCAAUUGCAUAACUAGAAUUAAAGCAUCAAACGUAUGAUGUGCAUUAGGAAACUAUGAUGUGCAGCAACCCCAAGGGUAACAUUAACAUUGCAGAGUUGAGAAAGGCCGCAGAAACUCACAAGGACAACUUAUCAGCACUUAUGAUAAAAUUUGCUUCCUAUAUAUUGAUACUUGUAACGUAUCCCUCAACCUAUGAAUGUACCUACGGGCUUAGAUUAUUCCUGCGAGGCUGCGACCACUUUGAGCCUUUUCUUACUUUUCAUGAGAUAUACUUUUCUUUGAGUCUUUUCUAUUAUUCUUACUUUUCUUACUUUUCAUGAGAUAUACUUCAGUUCUAUGAAUGUACCUACGGGCUAGAUUAUACUUCAGUUCUAUUUUCUUUUAAAGGAAAAUGGAUGAUUGUAGGCUCAAUGUCAACAAUGAUGAAUUCUGUCUUAAAUAUUACAACCAGAGUGCAUAUAAGCUGUUAUCCAAAGACUUUGCGAAUCCUUGCAGCAUAGACCAAUAUGCUAUGAUAUGUGCACGACAGUGAUGCAAUAUUAGAAUAUUUCUAAAAAAGUCUUGCCUCUUCCUCCUCCCUCAAGUGAAUAAUAAUUGUGUUACUUUAUUUUAUGAUUGAUGUUGUAUUUUGUAGUUUUAUAUGAUUAUUUGUAUGAAGUAUAUUGUAUUAUAUAACUUAAGAUA